rnacentral:lncRNA from 1 species
CCCAAUCAAACUCUCCACAAUUUUCACGCAAAACACACACACACAAUGCUUCCUGAUGGUGCCCCCUUUGCAAAUAUAUUUUUUUUUCCUGCAAAAUGUUUGGAAGGUACCUCACCAAAACAACCCACUCCCAAAUCUGCCUUUCCUCUGUUCCAUCUCUCUCGAGAAACUCCGACCACUUCAACCGGCGACAUAUUCCACAGUUCCGUCGACGAAGAAGGGGCACGAGCAUGUUGAGUAUGGGGC